UACGUAGGGUGCGAGCGUUGUCCGGAAUUAUUGGGCGUAAAGGGCUCGUAGGCGGUCUGUCGCGUCGGUAGUGAAAACUCAGGGCUUAACCCUGAGCCUGCUUCCGAUACGGGCAGACUAGAGGUAUGCAGGGGAGAAUGGAAUUCCUGGUGUAGCGGUGAAAUGCGCAGAUAUCAGGAGGAACACCGGUGGCGAAGGCGGGUCUCUGGGCAGUAACUGACGCUGAGGAACGAAAGCGUGGGUAGCAAACAGG
rnacentral:rRNA from 1 species